UACGUAGGGGGCAAGCGUUGUCCGGAUUUAUUGGGCGUAAAGAGCGUGUAGGCGGCCAUGUAGGUCCGUUGUGAAAACUCGAGGCUUAACCUCGAGACGUCGGUGGAAACUGCCUGGCUAGAGUCCGGAAGAGGAGAGUGGGAAUUCCUGGUGUAGCGGUGAAAUGCGCAGAUAUCAGGAAGAACACCCGUGGCGAAGGCGGCUCUCUGGGACGGUACUGACGCUGAGACGCGAAAGCGUGGGGGAGCGAACAGG
rnacentral:rRNA from 1 species